rnacentral:misc_RNA from 1 species
AAGUCGUAACAAGGUUUCCGUAGGUGAACCUGCGGAAGGAUCAUUAACACGUUUUACUUAAACGUCCCUAACCAAACUCUGUGAACAGAGGCCUGCGAUGCAUUCUUUCGCUAACUGCGGGAAUGGAUUCGCGCUAAACAUGGGCCUCGAUCUUUUUCUCCAUAUUUUUAACCCCUUUAACAACUUGGUUAUUUCCUCUGGGAAUGACCAUCUUGUGUCAACUCAUUUUAAAAACCUCAAAAUUAGAUAUUGAAUUGCCAAUAUCUAAUUUCCUCAGGAUAUAACAUACUAUAUGUGUGUAUAUCUCUGAUAUCUAAACCUUGAACAACUCUUAGCAACGGAUAUCUUGGUUCCC